rfam:Gossypium arboreum cultivar AKA8401 contig_553_7, whole genome shotgun sequence.
UUUAAUUUGAUGCAAAGCGAAGAACCCUACCAGGGCUUGACAUGCUGCGAAUCCUCGUGAAAGAGAGCAGUGCCUUCGAGAACACGAACACUGGUGAUGCAUGACAGUAGUGGGUUAAGUCCCACAAUGAGCUCAACCCUCAUGUUUAGUUGUCACCGUUGAGUGUGGAACCCUAGGUAGAUUGCCGAUGAUAAGCCGGAGGAAGGUGAGGAUGAUUGUCAAGUUUGGGAUAA